rnacentral:rRNA from 1 species
AACGAACGCUGGCGGUAGGCCUAACACAUGCAAGUCGAACGGCAGCACAGAGGAGCUUGCUCCUUGGGUGGCGAGUGGCGGACGGGUGAGGAAUACAUCGGAAUCUACUCUGUCGUGGGGGAUAACGUAGGGAAACUUACGCUAAUACCGCAUACGACCUACGGGUGAAAGCAGGGGAUCUUCGGACCUUGCGCGAUUGAAUGAGCCGAUGUCGGAUUAGCUAGUUGGCGGGGUAAAGGCCCACCAAGGCGACGAUCCGUAGCUGGUCUGAGAGGAUGAUCAGCCACACUGGAACUGAGACACGGUCCAGACUCCUACGGGAGGCAGCAGUGGGGAAUAUUGGACAAUGGGCGCAAGCCUGAUCCAGCCAUACCGCGUGGGUGAAGAAGGCCUUCGGGUUGUAAAGCCCUUUUGUUGGGAAAGAAAUCCAUCUGGUUAAUACCCGGGUGGGAUGACGGUACCCAAAGAAUAAGCACCGGCUAACUUCGUGCCAGCCGCCGCCGUAAUAC